AACGAACGCUGGCGGCAGGCUUAACACAUGCAAGUCGAGCGCCCCGCAAGGGGAGCGGCAGACGGGUGAGUAACGCGUGGGAAUCUACCCAUCUCUACGGAAUAACGCAUGGAAACGUGUGCUAAUACCGUAUACGUCCUUCGGGAGAAAGAUUUAUCGGAGAUGGAUGAGCCCGCGUUGGAUUAGCUAGUUGGUGGGGUAAAGGCCUACCAAGGCGACGAUCCAUAGCUGGUCUGAGAGGAUGAUCAGCCACACUGGGACUGAGACACGGCCCGGAAUCCUACGGGAGGCAGCAGUGGGGAAUAUUGGACAAUGGGCGCAAGCCUGAUCCAGCCAUGCCGCGUGAGUGAUGAAGGCCUUAGGGUUGUAAAGCUCUUUCACCGGAGAAGAUAAUGACGGUAUCCGGAGAAGAAGCCCCGGCUAACUUCGUGCCAGCCGCCGCUGUAAAAC
rnacentral:rRNA from 1 species